UCCUGGCUCAGGAUGAACGCUAGCGGCAGGCUUAACACAUGCAAGUCGAGGGGCAGCGUGGAGUAGCAAUACUCUGACGGCGACCGGCGAAAGGGUGAGUAACGCGUGAGCAACAUGCCCGUAGUUGGGGGAUAGUCGAUGGAAACGUCGCGUAAUACCCCGUAACAACAGAGGCCGCAUGACCUUUGUUUAAGAGAUUUAUUGUCUACGGAUUGGCUCGCGUACCAUUAGCUAGUUGGCGGGUAACGGCCCACCAAGGCGACGAUGGUUAGGGGUUCUGAGAGGAAGGUCCCCCACAUUGGAACUGAGACACGGUCCAGACUCCUACGGGAGGCAGCAGUGAGGAAUAUUGGUCAAUGGCCGAGAGGCUGAACCAGCCAUGCCGCGUGCCGGGAUGACGGCCCUAUGGGUUGUAAACCGCUUUUGUUGGGGAGCAAUAAGGUUCACGUGUGGACUGAUGAGAGUACCCAGCGAAUAAGCAUCGGCUAACUCCGUGCCAGCCGCCGC
rnacentral:rRNA from 1 species